rnacentral:rRNA from 1 species
CCUACGGGUGGCAGCAGUGAGGAAUAUUGGUCAAUGGACGCAAGUCUGAACCAGCCAUGCCGCGUGCAGGAUGACGGCUCUAUGAGUUGUAAACUGCUUUUGUACGAGGGUAAUAUCAGAUACGUGUAUCUGCUUGAAAGUAUCGUACGAAUAAGGAUCGGCUAACUCCGUGCCAGCAGCCGCGGUAAUACGGAGGAUCCAAGCGUUAUCCGGAUUUAUUGGGGUUAAAGGGUGCGUAGGCGGGCUGUUAAGUCAGCGGUAAAAUGUCGGGGCUCAACCCCGGCCUGCCGUUGAAACUGGCGGCCUCGAGUGGGCGAGAAGUAUGCGGAAUGCGUGGUGUAGCGGUGAAAUGCAUAGAUAUCACGCAGAACUCCGAUUGCGAAGGCAGCAUACCGGCGCCCUACUGACGCUGAGGCACGAAAGCGUGGGUAUCGAACAGGAUUAGAUACCCUAGUAGUC